CUUUGCAGGGCACUUCCAAACAUUGGAAGCAAAACAUACAAAAUGUGCAGAGCAGGGGGUUUGAGGACCAGGAUGAUUAACUUCUGUUCUAAACUGAAUGUGGCUUCAUAAAAGCAAUUCCUCUUGAUGAUUUUUUUUUUAUUUUAUUUUUUUUAUGAAGAACACAGUAGUUCAUCAUCUGAGUCCAAUUUUGUUUCCAUCUGGUAUUGUUUCAGCUCCUUUACUCACGGUCACUUCCCCAACAUCUACCAGUCCCACUAUUACAGGUGAAUGUGUUGCCGAACUGUAAUGUGGCCUUCAAAAGAAUCUUCUCCUAAUUACUGUCUUCAUGAAGAACACAUUUAUCGAGCAUCUGAUUUAAUAUCUGUUUCUACAUUGUUGCUUCAGAUCAUUUACAACCAUUCAUGUCCACAACAUACACUAGUUCUACUUCAACAGUCUCUUUACAGCCAGUCACUUCCACAACAUUUACUGGUUCUACUUCUACAGGUCAGGAUAAUUAUACUGUAGAUGGAAUGUGUUUCUUGAUGAUUUUCUUUAUGAAGAACAUUGUUCAUCAUCUGAGUGUGAUUUUAUAUCUUUUUCUAUCUGGUAUUGUUUCAGCUCCUUUACACACGGUCACUUCCACAACAUCUACCAGUCCCACUAUUACAGGUGAAUGUGUAGCUGAACUGGAAUGUGGCUUUCAAGAUAAGCUCCUACUAAUACCCGUCUUCAAGAUAAACACAAUGUUUAAGCAGACUUAAAUGCUGAAUUUCUGCUUCCACAUGUUUUGUUUCAGUUAAUUUACAACCAGUCACUUGCACAACAUCUACUACUUCUACUUCUACAGGUGAUAAUAAUUUUAGACUAAAUGUGACCUUUUAAAAUAAAUCCUUCAAUGAUAUCCUUGUUGCUGAACACUCUUUUUUUUCAUCUGAUAUAUAUUUUUUUAAAUAGGUCCUAUUAUGCUCUUUUACAAAGUCUUGAUUUUGUUUUGGGGGGCAUUAGAACAUGCUAUACUGCUUAGUGGUUCAAAAAAAAAAAAACACAUUAUUUUUCACAUAAUUGACAUUAUUACAAUUCCUUUCUCCCCAGCCUGGCUCAAACAGCUUGAUUAGAUCUUGUCCACCUUCCAAAAAACUAAAUGUGUUUGUGACUGGUUAGUUGUCCCAGUAAGCUGUGAUUGGCGAACAGUUUAGAUGGUGUUUCAGUAUUGCCCCACCCCUUGC
rnacentral:lncRNA from 1 species